CCUACGGGAGGCAGCAGUGGGGAAUCUUGGGCAAUGGCCGAAAGGCUGACCCAGCGACGCCGCGUGUGGGAGGACGCCCUUCGGGGUGUAAACCACUGUCACCGGGGACGAACGACCGCGCAGGGAACACCUGCGGGGUGUGACGGUACCCGGAGAGGAAGCGCCGGCUAACUCCGUGCCAGCAGCCGCGGUAAGACGGAGGGCGCGAGCGUUGUUCGGAAUCAUUGGGCGUAAAGCGCGCGCAGGCGGGCCUGCAAGUCGGGGGUGAAAUUCCGGGGCUCAACCCCGGAGCCGCCGUCGAAACUGCAGGCCUGGAGACCGGUAGAGGCCGGUGGAAUUCCCGGUGUAGCGGUGGAAUGCGUAGAGAUCGGGAAGAACACCCGUGGCGAAGGCGGCCGGCUGGGCCGGGUCUGACGCUGAGGCGCGAAAGCGUGGGGAGC
rnacentral:rRNA from 1 species